GAACCACUUCGGUGGGGAUUAGUGGCGAACGGGUGAGUAACACGUGGGCAAUCUGCCCUUCACUCUGGGACAAGCCCUGGAAACGGGGUCUAAUACCGGAUAACACUGCGGAUCGCAUGGUCUGCGGUUAAAAGCUCCGGCGGUGAAGGAUGAGCCCGCGGCCUAUCAGCUUGUUGGUGAGGUAAUGGCUCACCAAGGCGACGACGGGUAGCCGGCCUGAGAGGGCGACCGGCCACACUGGGACUGAGACACGGCCCAGACUCCUACGGGAGGCAGCAGUGGGGAAUAUUGCACAAUGGGCGAAAGCCUGAUGCAGCGACGCCGCGUGAGGGAUGACGGCCUUCGGGUUGUAAACCUCUUUCAGCAGGGAAGAAGCGAAAGUGACGGUACCUGCAGAAGAAGCGCCGGCUAACUACGUGCCAGCAGCCGCGGUAAUACGUAGGGCGCAAGCGUUGUCCGGAAUUAUUGGGCGUAAAGAGCUCGUAGGCGGCUUGUCACGUCGAUUGUGAAAGCCCGAGGCUUAACCUCGGGUCUGCAGUCGAUACGGGCUAGCUAGAGUGUGGUAGGGGAGAUCGGAAUUCCUGGUGUAGCGGUGAAAUGCGCAGAUAUCAGGAGGAACACCGGUGGCGAAGGCGGAUCUCUGGGCCAUUACUGACGCUGAGGAGCGAAAGCGUGGGGAGCGAACAGGAUUAGAUACCCUGGUAGUCCACGCCGUAAACGGUGGGCACUAGGUGUUGGCGACAUUCCACGUCGUCGGUGCCGCAGCUAACGCAUUAAGUGCCCCGCCUGGGGAGUACGGCCGCAA
rnacentral:rRNA from 1 species